rnacentral:rRNA from 1 species
AUUGAACGCUGGCGGCAGGCCUAACAAAUGCAAGUCGAACGAGUGGCGGACGGGUGAGUAAUGUCUGGGAAACUGCCUGAUGGAGGGGGAUAACUACUGGAAACGGUAGCUAAUACCGCAUACAAUCAGAUGUGCCCAGAUGGGAUUAGCUAGUUGGUGGGGUAACGGCUAACAACGGCGACGAUGCCUAGCUGGUAUGAGAGGAUGACCAGCCACACUGGAACUGGGACACGGUACAGACUCCUACGGGAGGCAGCAGGUGGGAAUAUUGCACAAUGGGCGAAAGCCUGAUGCAGCCAUGCCCCGUGUAUGAAGAAGGCCUUCGGGUUGUAAAGUACUUUCAGCGGGGAGGCGUUAACCGCAGAAGAAGCACCGGCUAACUCCGUGCCAGCAGCCGCGGUAAUUC